UACGGGGGGGGGCAAGCGUUGUUCGGAAUUACUGGGCGUAAAGGGCCAGUAGGCGGCCAACUAAGUCCGACGUGAAAUCCCAAGGCUUAACCUUGGAACUGCGUCGGAUACUGGAUGGCUUGAAUUCGGGAGAGGGAUGCAGAAUUCCAGGUGUAGCGGUGAAAUGCGUAGAUAUCUGGAGGAAUACCGGUGGCGAAGGCGGCAUCCUGGACCGAGAUUGACGCUGAACGGCGAAAGCUAGGGGAGCAAACGGG
rnacentral:rRNA from 1 species